AGAUUGAACGCUGGCGGCAGGCCUAACACAUGCAAGUCGAGCGGUAGAGAGGUGCUUGCACCUCUUGAGAGCGGCGGACGGGUGAGUAAUGCCUAGGAAUCUGCCUAGUGGUGGGGGAUAACGUUCGGAAACGGACGCUAAUACCGCAUACGUCCUACGGGAGAAAGGCGGGGGACCUUCGGGCCUCGCGCCAUUAGAUGAGCCUAGGUCGGAUUAGCUAGUUGGUGAGGUAAUGGCUCACCGAAGGCGACGAUACCGUAACUGGUCUGAGAGGAUGAUCAGUCACACUGGAACUGAGACACGGUCCAGACCUCCGUACGGGAGGCAGCAGGUGGGAAUGUGGACAAGUGGGACAAGCCUGACUCCGAGCCAUCGGCCGUCGGUGUGUACGGAAGUAAGGUUCUUACGGUAUUAGGUAAACGCUAACGUUUAAGGUGGGAAGGUAAGGUUAGUAAAC
rnacentral:rRNA from 1 species